rnacentral:rRNA from 1 species
GAAGGUGUGCUGUGAGGCAUGCUGGAGGUAUCAGAAGUGCGAAUGCUGACAUAAGUAACGAUAAAGCGGGUGAAAAGCCCGCUCGCCGGAAGACCAAGGGUUCCUGUCCAACGUUAAUCGGGGCAGGGUGAGUCGACCCCUAAGGCGAGGCCGAAAGGCGUAGUCGAUGGGAAACAGGUUAAUAUUCCUGUACUUGGUGUUACUGCGAAGGGGGGACGGAGAAGGCUAUGUUGGCCGGGCGACGGUUGUCCCGGUUUAAGCGUGUAGGCUGGUUUUCCAGGCAAAUCCGGAAAAUCAAGGCUGAGGCGUGAUGACGAGGCACUACGGUGCUGAAGCAACAAAUGCCCUGCUUCCAGGAAAAGCCUCUAAGCAUCAGGUAACAUCAAAUCGUACCCCAAACCGACACAGGUGGUCAGGUAGAGAAUACCAAGGCGCUUGAGAGAACUCGGGUGAAGGAACUAGGCAAAAUGGUGCCGUAACU